rnacentral:rRNA from 1 species
CGCGUGAGCAAUCUGCCUUUGGAUGGGGAUAACAGCCGGAAACGACUGGCUAAUACCGCAUAAUGCAGCAGGACCGCGAUGAUUUUGCUGCCAAAGAUUUAUCGUCCAAAGAUGAGCUCGCGUCUGAUUAGCCAGUUGGCGGGGUAACGGCCCACCAAAGCGACGAUCAGUAGCCGGACUGAGAGGUUGAACGGCCACAUUGGGACUGAGACACGGCCCAGACUCCUACGGAAGGCAGCAG